rnacentral:lncRNA from 1 species
CCUUCCUUCAGUUGUAGUUUCUAAGGUAGUUCCCUCAGUUGUAGUUUCUAAGGUAGUUCCUUCAGUUGUAGUUUCUAAGGUAGUUCCUUCAGUUGUAGUUUCUAAGGAAGUUCCUUCAGUUGUUGUUUCUAAUGUAGUUCCCUCAGUUGUAGUUUCUAAGGUAGUUCCUUCAGUUGUAGUUUCUAAGGUAGUUCCUUCAGUUGUUGUUUCUAAGGUAGUUCCCUCAGUUGUAGUUUCUAAGGUAGUUCCUUCAGUUGUAGUUUCUAAGGUAGUUCCUUCAGUUGUUGUUUCUAAG